AACAAAUUCAAGACAAAUUGUAGUUGAAAAUGUGAUGGACUUUAACGAGACGUAAUCAAACUAUUAUCUAUUCAAUCCUGUUGCCUUUCAAUAAUAUUUCCAAUAAGUAUUACGAAAAUUGUACGUGUGAAUAAAAGCAAAGAUUUUUACAAUGGUGAAAUUGAAUUUUAGGAUUAAGUACAUUUCAUUCCAACUGCAUAUUCUGCUAAGCUAUCACUCUGUAGCAGCUUAGUUCCAAGUAUUAUUUAUGGCCUUUUGCUAUGGAAGACGACGGAGAGCAGCUCAGGGAGUAGGAGAAGUAGCUGUAGCUGUAUUAACUGUGCUGCUCCCACUCCAUAUUUGGUAACAACGCCAACGACAACGACGCUUGAUCAAACGAAACAAACGAAAGCCAAGGCAAGGCAAAAGGCAAAAACGGUUAAAACAUAAACAAGAUCUGUAUUUACUGCUGUGGCAUUAACUGCGUCGUUCAAUCAAAAGCAAACUUAAUAUGCCGACGACUUGAACAAUUUGAUAAAGACUGGGAGAUGCGCUACAAGUCAGGUUUACCUAGAAGAUUGGCUGCUAUAAAAUUAUGUUAGCAAUGCAAAUUUCUUUAUAACCAGCGAAAAAAGUGCAAUAAAACGAUCGAAAAUGAAAUUUUAGAUCAAACAUUUUUAUAGCAAAUUAAUGACAAUGAAAAUGAAAUUACUUUACCUCUUAGAAGUAAAUUUCUUUGGGAUUGAAUUUAGGCAAUGCAAAUUCCAUUAGUAAUAGCUUAAUAUCAAUAAAAAUAUCUCACACGAUUGACA